rnacentral:tRNA from 1 species
GGGGCGGUAGCUCAGCUGGGAGAGCACCGGCUUUGCAAGCCGGGGGUCGAGGGUUCGAAUCCCUUCCGCUCCA